rnacentral:rRNA from 1 species
AUUGAACGCUGGCGGCAGGCCUAACACAUGCAAGUCGAACGAGUGGCGGACGGGUGAGGAAUAUAUCGGAAUCUGCUCGGUCGUGGGGGAUAACGUCGGGAAACGUAGGCUAAUACCGCAUACCAUCGGAUGUGCCCAGAUGGGAUUAGCUUGUAGGUGAGGUAACGGCUCACCUAGGCGACGAUCCCUAGCUGGUCUGAGAGGAUGAUAAGCCACACGGGAAUUGAGACACGGCCCAGACUCCUACGGGAGGCAGCAGUGGGGAAUAUUGCACAAGGGGCGCAAGCCUGAUGCAGCCAUGCCGCGUGUAUGAAGAAGGCCUUCGGGUUGUAAAGUACUUUCAGCGGGGAGGCGUUACCCGCAGAAGAAGCACCGGCUAACUCCGUGCCAGCAGCCGCGGUAAUUC